GUGGGGAAUCUUGCGCAAUGGGCGAUAGCCUGACGCAGCCAUGCCGCGUGAAUGAUGAAGGUCUUAGGAUUGUAAAAUUCUUUCACCGGGGACGAUAAUGACGGUACCCGGAGAAGAAGCUCCGGCUAACUUCGUGCCAGCAGCCGCGGUAAUACGAAGGGGGCUAGCGUUGCUCGGAAUUACUGGGCGUAAAGGGCGCGUAGGCGGACAGCUUAGUCAGAGGUGAAAGCCCAGGGCUCAACCUUGGAAUUGCCUUUGAUACUGGCUGUCUUGAGUUUGGGAGAGGUGAGUGGAACUCCGAGUGUAGAGGUGAAAUUCGUAGAUAUUCGGAAGAACACCAGUGGCGAAGGCGACUCACUGGCCCAAUACUGACGCUGAGGCGCGAAAGCGUGGGGAGCAAACAGGAUUAGAUACCCUAGUAGUCC
rnacentral:rRNA from 1 species